CCUUUGGUGAUCCAGUGGUAGAAUUCUCACCUUCCUUUGCAAGAGACCCAGGUUCAAUUCCUGGCCAAUGCA
rnacentral:tRNA from 1 species